UACGUAGGUGGCAAGCGUUGUCCGGAAUUAUUGGGCGUAAAGCGCGCGCAGGCGGUCCUUUAAGUCUGAUGUGAAAUCACGUGGCUCAACCACGUGCGGUCAUUGGAAACUGGAGGACUUGAGUGCAGAAGAGGAAAGUGGAAUUCCAAGUGUAGCGGUGAAAUGCGUAGAUAUUAGGAGGAACACCAGUAGCGAAGGCGGCUCUCUGGACUGUAACUGACGCUGAGGCACGAAAGCGUGGGGAGCAAACAGGAUUAGA
rnacentral:rRNA from 1 species